CAACCUGAGUGAUUGUCUUCAGUUGAAUGAUGCCUCCUCUAGUUUUUAUUCAUCUCUAUGGGCUAGACCGUCUCGUUAUAUAUCGUCUGUGCUCGUUCCAAACGGCGUUUGUUCGGUCUCCGUGGUCUCAAAAGUCUAGAUCUUCGUCGAACGCAGCCUUCAAAGGAUGCAUUCCCUGAAUUGAGACACAGCCACAGAUACAUUUGUAUCCUUCACGGCGUAAUCAGUUUCAACUAAGAAUCUUUUUUUUGUUCCUUUUUUUUUUUUUUCCCCUCCCCAAAACAAAAUGGCGGAAAAAGAGGCAGCAGUUGACCAUAAACUGUACCAACUGAACACCGGCGAUUUCGUCUUUAAAUGGAGCAAGGAGCUGACAGCUGAAUUUAUAAAGUUGAGGGCAGAAAGUGAACACCUGUUCACAGGAGCCAGGUUUUCAGCCCGUAUGGGCUGGAGGUAAGU